AUUCCAGUCUCCCGCCAAGUUUCCUGCUCAAUCUUCUCCAGCAAACUGUUUGGAGAUGGAAAGACAGCAGCUCAGUGCUUUGACUCUCCCUGGCCCUGCAGACAGAGGAGCAGAAGGUGGCAGAGCUUACAGCAGGCUGAAGAGUUCCCUGUAGUUCUCAUCACCUUUUCCUUCGGACACCAGGCUGUCCAGCUUAUCAAUCAACUCAGCUUCCACCUGGAGGAAGAGGGAUCAAAUCAAUCACUCAGACACACUUCCAAUGAACCUCAGCUGCCAAAUUGCAAAAGAAGCAAAGAUGAGAAGGAAAAGCAAUUCACCCAGUGGCACACAAAUGGAGUUGGUGCUCUUGCUGCUGAAAUCAUUAAAGGGAGACCUGACUUCAUCCCUGAAUCAGA